GUGCAUUGAAACAGAGACAGCACUUAGAACACUGCACAGCCUGGUCCACAGCGUGUGUUCAGUGCACAGCGUAUCUGCUAGGCUAGGAGUAGUUUUUGCCAGUUUAUUAACAGGAGACUAAGCUCCCGGCAGGAAGGGUCUGCAUGGUCUUGUUUAUCACUGUGCCUUAGUACUUGACUAUUCAUUGUCUUUUUUUUUAAGGCUAACUUAUUAAUUUUUAAAUUUUUAAAGUUGUUAAAUUUUUCCCCUUUAGCUGCCCAGAAUUUAAAUUCUGUGACCAUAAGCUGAUUGCUCCCUAUUUUGAAGGCACCAGCAUGAACCUGAUUGAAUGUAAGAGCAGCAUGUGAUAAGGGCAGUUGGUCAUUAUUGAGUAUUUUUGCUGGCCAGAGCUAAGUGCUCUUCAUACAGAUCUCACUGAAUCUUCAACUCAAUCCCAUUUUACGGAUGAGGAAACCAAGGCCUAGUGGGGGCACCGGCCUCUCACAAGAGGACAUCUGGUGCAGUGUUUAAAAGCUGGGGCUCUGGAGUUCCUCUGCCUGAGUUGAAUCCCCACCUUGUCACUUUCUGCCUCUGUGACCUCCAACCUGUGAUUUUUCUGCAUGCCAUGUUCUUCUUAUCUGUAAAGUAGGAAUGAUAAUAGUACCGACUUAGAGUGCAGCUCUGAGGCUUAGGGGUUGUUCACAUGCAGUGCUUAGAACAGCACCUUGUACAUGGUGAGCACUGGGGUUGUGGUGAUGGUUGUUAUUCUUAGCCAGCUCAGUUUUGCUUCCAGAGCAGGCUGGAGGAGCCCAGCAGCAGCGUUUAAUCAUUAACUAUCGCCUAUGAGCUGGCACCCCAUCUCUGAGCUGGCACUCCAUCUACAGGGGCCAGAGAGCCCACCUUUGGAUUAUGAGGCUCAGUGAAGCAGCCAGCUGCAAGCCCAGAACAGGGUAUGCCGUGGCACUCAUCCAGCCCUGGCUGCAUCUGUACAAACAGGUGGCCUGCUCCUGAAUCAGAGGUAACAGGCCAGGCGUCUUUGUUACCUUUGAGCUUUCUCUUAAGCCCAUUCAGACUCUCCAGACCCACGUGCCUGAUGAGUAAGGAAUCCUUUUAUUUUCCUCCUCCAAAGGGACUAGCAAAUCAGACCUCUUUGGGAAUGUGCCUGUUCACGAACACCAACCAUCUCCCAGGGAACUCUGGUGGCUGGCGCUUUCUUGCAGCAGUUGAAUAAGUUGCUGUUAGAAGCUGGCACGGCAGGUUCUUGUUUCCGCAUUCCAGACACCCACAGCAGCUGGGGGAGGCACCACCCUAGGUCGGCCUGAGAGCUCAUGCAGGUGGCCUUUGCCUUGGGAAGACCCAGGACAGGAGCCACACCUGGGGCCAGCCUAACAGUCACCUGCUUACUUUGUGAUCAGGGCUGUGUUCCGGGAUGCCUUUUAGCACUGUGCAAAAGGAUGAACCCAUGGAGUCCUCACCACAGCGCAUGAGGCCAGCCUCUCAUCCCCAUUGUGCUAAAGCACAAAGAGGUAAAAUAACUUACCUGUUAAGUGCCCAGCAAGUGAGGAAUUGACCUGGGAAUCUGGCUAUGGUCACUUCACCGAAGCUCAGACUUUUUACUCUAUGCCAUGUUUGGCCCCUUUUUUUUCAUUAGUAUACUUCUCAAACAAUAUUAUUUUUACUGGGAGCUCAGUGGUAGAAUGCAUGUGUAGCAUGUGAAAGGCCCUUGGUUCAAUCUCUAGCAUAAAUAAAUAAAUGGAUAAAGGACCAAACAAACGAAUGAAAUUAUUUUUAUUGAGUUGCACAUGGUACAGUAUUUAAAAAUAAAAGGUCAGGUUUUUUUUCAUACUCAAAUCCUCCAUAGCAGCAGCCACUAUGACCUCUUUCUUUCAUCUUUGUUUGGAAAUUCUCUGUGUCUAUACAAGCAAAUAUAUAAACAGAAUAGCCAUAUUCCAUACCAGAGGUGGUAAACUACAACCCACAGGCCAGAUUUGGCCCAGGGUCAGUUGUUGUUUGGCCUGGGAGCUAAGAAUAGGCUCGAUGUUUUCACAGGGUUGAAAAAAAAAUCAGAAGAUUUCAUAACAUGUCAGACGAUUUGAAAUUCAGGUUUCAGUGCCCAUAAAUAAAGUUUUAUGGAACACAGCCAUGCUUGUUUGGUUAUGUAGUUUGGCUGCUUUCAGAGUUGAGCAGUUGCAGUAGAGAAAGAUGACCCCAAGCC
ensembl:lncRNA